rnacentral:lncRNA from 1 species
ACAGCAGAAAUAGCUCCAGAGUCGGUCACGUUCAGUGCAGAUGUACCCUUACAUCUCACCUGUAUGCCAUACCAGUGUCUCCACACUCAUUGGUUAAGAGGACAACCAACCUAUAUGGCACACAAUGACCUAUGCUUGAUAAACAUUAUCGUCCUUGAUAACAACGUAUCAUUUGGUCGCGAACAGAUUUAAGGACUAAA